GACGAACGCUGGCGGCGUGCUUAACACAUGCAAGUCGAGCGGUAAGGCCCCUUCGGGGGUACACGAGCGGCGAACGGGUGAGUAACACGUGAGCAAUCUGCCCUUCACACGGGGAUAACUUCGGGAAACCGGAGCUAAUACCCGAUACGACCACCUCGGGCAUCCGAUGGUGGUGGAAAGCUCCGGCGGUGAAGGAUGAGCUCGCGGCCUAUCAGCUUGUUGGUGGGGUAACGGCCCACCAAGGCAACGACGGGUAGCCGGCCUGAGAGGGUGACCGGCCACACUGGGACUGAGACACGGCCCAGACUCCUACGGGAGGCAGCAGUGGGGAAUAUUGGACAAUGGGCGAAAGCCUGAUCCAGCAACGCCGCGUGAGGGAUGACGGCCUUCGGGUUGUAAACCCCUUUCAGCAGGGACGAAGCGCAAGUGACGGUACCUGCAGAAGAAGCACCGGCCAACUACGUGCCAGCCGCCGCAGUAAUAC
rnacentral:rRNA from 1 species